UCUUAUCCCGAGCUGGUGGAGGGUCAAGGCCCUAUGAAGCCCGGCAACCUGCAUUUAUUAUAUAUAAUAAAUGCGAUGGUGCCAACCUGAUGCAAGGGAAAAUCCCUUGAACGAUAAGA
rnacentral:ncRNA from 1 species